GGGAGUAGCACAGCUAAGGAAAAGGGGGAAAAAUGGCAGACUGUGUUGUUUGGCGACCCCCGUGAAAUGGUCGUUCGACCCCAAAUGGGCUCGCGACCCACAGGUUGAGAACCGCUGCUUUAUGGGAAUGAUAUAAAAUUGCUUUAUAGUGAGAGGAAAAUGUAUAGAAUUUUAUGUCUGUGAACUUUUGCACUGUGCUUUUUUUAAUCACAUGAUUUGUCAACUCGCCCUUUUAGACAAUAAAUAAGCUUUUUAAAAAUAAACAAAAAUGUCAAAUUGUUAUUUGCACCUAUUUAUUGGCUCAUAAACAUUAUUUGAAAGACUCAAUGGCUAGGGAAACAGCAAAUUUGCCUUGAGCAAUCAUGAAAGGAUCAACAAGAAUGCAAGGUAUAUAAUUAAAAACAAAACUACAACAUUUUAAAAUAAAGCAUUGCAAAAUAAAUGAUAGUUUGAAUAUUAAUUCUGGUUUGUGCUGAUCUUAAAUUAUUUGCAACCCUUUUUUUGUCUAGUCUUAUCACAGUAAACAUGUUAUUUGCAUAAAUGUUUUAUGCUACAUACUUUAAGCAAUUGUCCAAACGUACACAUACUGCUUACAUUCCGUUUAAAAACGUUUGUUCACGCUCCUUUGUUGGCUGCAGAUGAAGAGGAAAGCCUUCAAAGGAGAUGAACUUCAAUGAUAAUAGCUCUUUUAAUUUUUCUAAAGGAAAAAUUAAUUUGUUUCAAUGUGUAAAACUCAUCUAAGUGCACAAAAAGACCUUUAAGUUGAUAAUGAAACCAUUUUUCUCUUACAUGUUCAUUAUGCCUUCUGUAGAUUUAUACUUUCUUUCAAGAUUGCUUAUAGUGUAAGCACUUUGUAUAUAUCUGAUAUUGCAGAAUUAAAAGAAAAUGGAAGAAAACAUAUAUCCCAUGCCUUCCCCUAAAAAUGAAACUUUAUUUCCCUUGAUAAUAUCUUGUCCUAUGGAUAGAUUCCACUGCUCAUUAGUAGGACAGUUUCUUUUUAUAUAAGGAGGCUGCUUUCUAUAUAAUGUGGACGCUACAAGUUUCUUAGCUUGUAAAGUGUAAAUGUAUGGAAUAAAAUUACUCAGUGUUUUUCAAUGCAGUUGAUUUGAGAGUGAAGAACAGUAUCAAUUACAAAAUCAGUUUUAGAAUACCAUCCAUGCUUCCACAAUUGAUGAAUAUAUUAUUUGCUCACUUUUCCUGAUUCAUCUACAUCAGUGGUUCUCAACCUGUGGGUCGGGACCCCAUUUGGGGUCGAAUGACCAUUUCACGGGGUUCGCCAAACCACGCUGUCCGCCAUUUUUUUCCCUUUUCCCUAGCUGUCCUACUCCCUCUUAUUGGUGGCCACACCCACUUGGGGGUCACCACAACAUGGGGAACUGUAUUAUGGGGUCACGGCAUUAGAAAGGUUGAGAACCACUGAUCUACAUGGUGUCACAUGGAAUACAAAUUUAGAUAUAGUAAAAUUAUUAUCAUCUAACCACUGUUCUCUCAUUCCUUCUUAGUCUACAAAAUAUGUAGCACCCACUUAUAGACCAGGGGUUUAUAUGCAUGCUGUACAAAAUGUGUACAUGGCUAUUCUAUAUGUAAUCUCAUAGAAAAAUUGAGAAUCUUCCAAUAACUAACUUACUAUAAUCAAAUACUCAAGUUUUACAAGAAGAUGGGUUCCAUGUGUGUAUGUUAUAUAAAAUUCUGGUCAUACCUUAACAGUCAUAAAGACAAUUAAAAUAUCCAUAAAACAUUAAAUACAUGACAACUGUAAAAUAUAAAACUAAAAGAUUAGCAUUAGUUUGGAUUUUAUUUAUUCAGCUAUUUAUUACAGCUGCUUUUAAGUUGUUUCAAUCACCAAGACUCUGACUAGAAAGGUGGCCCCACAACUAUUUUUGUUUUUAUGUUCUGGACCAGCUAGAAUUUAAAUGUAUUCAAAUUAAUCUUGUCUGAAUUAGGCUUCAUUUAUUCUACUACCGAUACUAAUAGGUCAAUGCUCAGCUGAUCCAAAAAAAACCAAACCCUGCACUUGUGGGAAAAUGCUAGGAAGAAAACACAGUAUUUUUAAACACAAUUUUGAAUUAUAUUUUGUUCACCGGUAUUGGCUUUCUGUUAUAUUCCCAUUAUAUCCCCAUUCAGACUUUCUACUUAUAAAUUGACUUUAAGUGAACCAAGACUGCCAUUCUUAUCCAUAUUUAUGGACCCACUUAGGUCUCUUGUACUAGAAUUCUUUGCUAGAGUGUUUUAAGUGUCAGAAUAGUUUUUCUAAACUGUCACAUCAAUACAUUUGAAAUGACGAUUCAAGGUCUUCUGGAUGUUAGAAGCAUGAGUAAAUCAUUAAAUCUCUUAUAGUGGAUUUUUUGGUAUUUUGAAAAUUUGAAAGUACUGUACUCCAUUACUCCACUAAUUCUGCCUGGAGUUCCUUUGAUUUUUCCCAUCCAAAUGUAAGAUGAUUCCAUUUGUUCCUGAUGAGAUUUAUAUUUUUGCUUUUUAUUUCAGCUGAUUAAAUUCCUCCUAAUCUUGAUACAUCUGCUAAGGUGUUCGUUAUCUCUCCAUUUUUGUGUCAGCUACAAAUGUGAUAAUCAUAUUUUCUAACAGCAUUGGGCCUAGAAUUGACUCUGGCAGUAUGUUACUGCCAUAAUGUAUGUUUUUGGGAACUGAUGUUCACCCAGUUCUUUAUUCUUAAUCCAGCCCAUGUUUUGUUGUCUUCACUGCUAGGAUCUAAAGUGAGAAUUCAUAGAAUGCAUUACUGAAGUCGGUAUAUUAUGUCCACUGCAUUCCACUGGACAAGUAUACUGACCAAUUUUAUUUAAAAAAAUAUUGAUUGGGAUCCUAUGACUAUAUCUUUAAAGAAACACAUUUUGGCAUUUGGUUCUGCCUUGCUUUUUGUUGCUUAGGUAAAAAUUCUAUUUCCAGUUGCAGGAAGCAAACUGUUCUAGUUUUUGCUGAAUUGUAGGAUAAAUCUCAGUGAUGUAAAUUUCAAAUAUGUGUCAAUCAGACACAGCAGAAGUUACUUAUUACUCAUUAAAUUAUGUUUUGGUAGGUACAUUUAUAAUUUAAUCUGGUUCUGUAAAAAACAUUUACAAUGAUGUGAAGAAACAUUUUUGUUCAUUACAAUAUCAGCAUUCAUUUACAUUUUUAUGAAGAGAGAAAACAUGCAAAACAGAACAAUCUUCAUUUUUUUGUCCUUUUUAUUCUAGAACUGUUUCACUGGCAGUUCAAAAUACAGUGAAACUUCAGUUUAACAGCAGACUUUAAAUAUAAGAAACAAGAUUUCUGUUUGGAUAUCCAUCUGAAAUAGGGGGCAAGUCUGUUUUAUCCAAUGUAGUAUGGAAAUGGUAGUUAAAUUGAUGCUAUUGUUUAUGGUCAUUUGCAUAAUGAUAUAAUUAAAUAAUACAGUACAAAUAAAUACAUAAUACAAA